ensembl:lncRNA
UUUUACUCUCAAGUUCGUUAGAGAACCAUCUAUUUACCGGUGUUACAAAAAAAAAAAAGGUGCAUCACAGCAGUGCAACAAGGAACCAUGUUAUCAUAAGUUCUCUCUAAAAAAAAAAAACAACCUUAGUUAGUGCUAUAAGGAACCAAAGUUAAAAAAAGUGAUGCUAGGAGAACCUUUUCCAGUCCCAUUUCAUAGGGUUCACGUUAACCUGUUAAGGAAUGAUAUAAACACUGAAGAACCAAUACACUGUUCUGAAGGACCUAUAUAAUGAAACAUUCGGAACUUCUUUAAUCUCCAGAGAACCGUACAACUCAACUUGAGAACCCAAUACAAUGAAAAACGGCUCUUGACAAGAGCCAGGUUGCUUGCAGGACUUGUGAUGCUGUAAAGAACCAUCGAAGAACCUUUUUUAAGAGUAUAGGAGUGAAUGAACGUAUCUUAAGGGCGUGUUAUCACCUCGGGUCCAGCGUUCCCAGGAUAGACUCCAGCUCCAGCCGUGACCCUGAACAGGAUAAAGAUCUUACUGGCGAUGUGAGUAAAGAACCCUGAUGUAGGCUUUAAUGUAAAUAUAACUCAGAGAAGGAGUGGGUUCUUCUCUUCCUGCAGUUGUUUCUUCCAUUUCUUCGUCCUUGUUUUUGGCUUGUUUGUUGAUCGUUAAUUAAGGUGUCCAUCAUAUCAGUGAAGGUCCUCUCGAGUAUAUAGCCUAUUGAAUAUAACAAUAAUAACGAGGGGAAAAAAUUCAUCGCUGUUGCACAUUUAAUAAACAUGUAAUGUACACUGCUCACUCAGAGCAUUCUGCUCAUUCAUGCAGGUUCAAUAAGCAGCACAGGUGAAUUUCUGCACUGCAGUAACCUUCUCGCUUUACCGGUCUGGUUUCCAUAGUUACCUCUAACCUGCCAUUAAAUGUUGAGGCCAUGAGGCCUUAGUGUCGCCUACUGUUAACGAAAAUGUCUCUCUGGAGGACGAAUCUUCCUUCCACGCAUUCCGUUUAAUAACACCGCGCAGGUAACGAACCCGCAUUACACGCCGUGGACCGUCGCCAUGGUUACCACCGCGUUCCUUUCCUACUUCCGCCUACGUCACAACCGCGACGUCGUGCCCUCGCAUUCUACCGGUCUAAACAAUGCAUCAAAACAGGAGCCGACCACGCGAAUGAUGAAGGUGAACGGGAAGCCGGAUAACAUCUGACACCAUUGAGGACAACCUGAAGUGACCUGAGCACCGGGGAACCCCCCCCGUACACCCCACCCGACCCCAACGACCACGCGUGCACGGAC